rnacentral:misc_RNA from 1 species
GAUGAAGAACGUAGCGAAAUGCGAUAAGUAAUGUGAAUUGCAGAAUUCAGUGAAUCAUCGAAUCUUUGAACGCACAUUGCGCCCGCCAGUAUUCUGGCGGGCAUGCCUGUUCGAGCGUCAUUUCAACCAUCAAGCCCCAGGCUUGUGUUGGAGCCCUGCGGCUGCCGCAGCCUCCCAAAACCAGUGGCGGGCUCGCUAUCACACCGAGUGCAGUAGUUUACUCUUCGCUCAGGGCGUGUGGCGGGUGCUAGCCGUAAAACCCCCAACUUCUCAAGGUUGACCUCGAAUCAGGUAGGAAUACCCGCUGAACUUAAGCAUAUCAAUAAGCGGAGGA